CCUACGGGAGGCAGCAGUGGGGAAUAUUGGACAAUGGGGGCAACCCUGAUCCAGCCAUGCCGCGUGUGUGAAGAAGGCCCUCGGGUUGUAAAGCACUUUCAGUGAGGAAGAACGCCUGGUGGUUAAUACCCAUCAGGAAAGACAUCACUCACAGAAGAAGCACCGGCUAACUCCGUGCCAGCAGCCGCGGUAAUACGGAGGGUGCGAGCGUUAAUCGGAAUUACUGGGCGUAAAGCGCGCGUAGGUGGCUUGAUAAGCCGGUUGUGAAAGCCCCGGGCUCAACCUGGGAACGGCAUCCGGAACUGUCAAGCUAGAGUGCAGGAGAGGAAGGUAGAAUUCCCGGUGUAGCGGUGAAAUGCGUAGAGAUCGGGAGGAAUACCAGUGGCGAGGCGGCCUUCUGGACUGACACUGACACUGAGGUGCGAAAGCGUGGGUAGCAAACAGGAUUAGAUACCCUAGUAGUC
rnacentral:rRNA from 1 species